CCUACGGGAGGCUGCAGUGGGGAAUAUUGGACAAUGGGGGGAACCCUGAUCCAGCCAUGCCGCGUGUGUGAAGAAGGCCCUCGGGUUGUAAAGCACUUUCAGUGAGGAAGAACGCCUGGUGGUUAAUACCCAUCAGGAAAGACAUCACUCACAGAAGAAGCACCGGCUAACUCCGUGCCAGCAGCCGCGGUAAUACGGAGGGUGCGAGCGUUAAUCGGAAUUACUGGGCGUAAAGCGAGCGUAGGUGGCUUGAUAAGCCGGUUGUGAAAGCCCCGGGCUCAACCUGGGAACGGCAUCCGGAACUGUCAAGCUAGAGUGCAGGAGAGGAAGGUGGAAUUCCCGGUGUAGCGGUGAAAUGCGUAGAGAUCGGGAGGAAUACCAGUGGCGAAGGCGGCCUUCUGGACUGAAACUGACAUUGAGGUGCGAAAGCGUGGGUAGCAAACAGGAUUAGAUACCCUUGUAGUC
rnacentral:rRNA from 1 species